rnacentral:rRNA from 1 species
CACGUAGGGGGCAAGCGUUGUCCGGAUUUAUUGGGCGUAAAGAGCUCGUAGGCGGCUCAGUAAGUCGGGUGUGAAACCUCCAGGCUCAACCUGGAGACGCCACCUGAUACUGCUGUGGCUAGAGUCCGGUAGGGGAGCGUGGAAUUCCUGGUGUAGCGGUGAAAUGCGUAGAGAUGCGGAGGAACACCGAUGGCGAAGGCAGCCCCCUGGGCCAACACUGACGCUCAGGCACGAAAGCGUGGGGAGCAAACAGG